CAACAGGGAUUGCCUCAGUAACUGCGAGUGAAGCGGCAAAAGCUCAAAUUUGAAAUCUGGCGCCUUCGGCGUCCGAGUUGUAAUUUGGAGAGGCAUCUUCGGAUAUGGCGCCGUCCUAAGUUCCUUGGAACAGGACGUCACAGAGGGUGAGAAUCCCGUGCCUGGUCGGCUGUCCAUAUCCAUGUGAAGUGUCUUCGACGAGUCGAGUUGUUUGGGAAUGCAGCUCAAAAUGGGUGGUAAAUUUCAUCUAAAGCUAAAUAUUGGCGAGAGACCGAUAGCGCACAAGUAGAGUGAUCGAAAGAUGAAAAGAACUUUGAAAAGAGAGUUAAAAAGUACGUGAAAUUGUUGAAAGGGAAGCGCUUGAGACCCCACUCGAUCUUUGGUGAUCAGCUAGGCUUCUGUCUGGUGCACUUGCCAUUGAUUGGGCCAGCAUCGGUUCUGACGGCGGGAUAAAAGGCAGAGGAAUGUGGCUCUCUUCGGGGAGUGUUAUAGCCUCAGUCAUAAUGCCGCCAGUUGGGACCGAGGACCGCGCUUCGGCUAGGAUGCUGGCAUAAAGGUCUUAAGCGACCCGUCUUGAAACACGGACCAAGGAGUCUAACAUCUAUGCGAGUGUUCGGGUGGAAAACCCUUGCGCGUAAUGAAAGUGAACGGAGGUGGGAACUCUUCGGAGUGCACCAUCGACCGAUCCUGAUGUUUUCGGAAGGAUUUGAGUAAGAGCAUAGCUGUUGGGACCCGAAAGAUGGUGAACUAUGCCUGAAUAGGGUGAAGCCAGAGGAAACUCUGGUGGAGGCUCGCAGCGGUUCUGACGUGCAAAUCGAUCGUCAAAUUUGGGUAUAGGGGCGAAAGACUAAUCGAACCAUCUAGUAGCUGGUUCCUGCCGAAG
rnacentral:rRNA from 1 species